GGAUGUGACGGUGAUCUGGCUGUGACAUCUGUCACCUCAUCAAUCACUAGGGUUGAUUCACUGAUCUGGCUGCAUAGGCAGUGUCCCAUUCCUCCUCCACAGCUCCAUGUGUGUCCCUCCUGAUGCUGUGUGCUCGGUCGAAGGAAACAACCAUCCCCAAUAGUGGAGGACUGGUCUUCGGUCAAGGGUAUAUGAGUAGCUGCACUCCCUCUUAGAAACCUCCGUAACAAGCUCUCAAAUACACCUAUUUUUUUAAGU
rnacentral:snRNA from 1 species